GAGUGGCGAACGGGUGAGUAACACGUGGGUAACCUGCCCAUCAGAAGGGGAUAACACUUGGAAACAGGUGCUAAUACCGUAUAACAAUCGAAACCGCAUGGUUUUGAUUUGAAAGGCGCUUUCGGGUGUCGCUGAUGGAUGGACCCGCGGUGCAUUAGCUAGUUGGUGAGGUAACGGCUCACCAAGGCCACGAUGCAUAGCCGACCUGAGAGGGUGAUCGGCCACAUUGGGACUGAGACACGGCCCAAACUCCUACGGGAGGCAGCAGUAGGGAAUCUUCGGCAAUGGACGAAAGUCUGACCGAGCAACGCCGCGUGAGU
rnacentral:rRNA from 1 species